CUUCUUAUGAAGCUACUGUCAGGAUUCAUCGUCGAGAUCGAUAUUCCCAUUUUGUCUACGGUUACCGCCAGAAUAACCUUUCAUGAAUUUGCAUUUGGAAAUGACAAAUUUGAAACUCUUACAAGUGCUCUUGGGUUACUUUAAAGAUUCAAUCAGCCUCCGAUGAGAAGAGUUUCCACAAAUCCUUCCCUUGAUACUCAGAUAUCAGGAAGUAUGUCUGGAAGCUCAGGCAGGAGAAAGUCCAUUCUUAGGUCAAAAUCUUGUAUACAAGGAAAGUAGUGAAUCUAUCAAAGCGACAGUAGCGAUGUAUAUGGAUUUUUCAUUGACCGUGGACAUGCUUCUAAAUGUUUUGGAAGUGACCGCACUGUUCAAACACUUCAGUAAACUUAGACAUCUUAUGAAGCUACUGCCAGGAUUCACCGUCGAGAUCGAUAUUCCUAUUUUGUCUACCACCAGAAUAACCUUUCAAGAAUUUGCAUUUGGAAAUGACAAAUUCGAAACUCUUGGAUUACCUUAAAGAUUCAAUCAUUUUUGGAGACUGGGAGUUGCCAGGUGAGGGAGAGCAAGAAACACCGAUUCAAAAAUCUGAGACUUUUUGCAGUUUGAGCUGAAAG